AUUGCUGGGUGCUUUUCUGCAGCCGUUUGCGGGCAGUAGUUAUGUGCUUCGUUUUCACAUCGUGAUUCUUUAUCAUGAGCCAGGACUUGACUGCAGAUGAGAAGCGAGUGCUCGCAAGCUUGCGUUCGGCCCGAGCGCAGGCGCUGGCUUGUCGUCAGCAGCUUGUUCUGUUGCAGGAACGGCUGCUCGUAGCACAGGGCGGUCCAGUGGAAACGCAAGUUUCCAGCAGCCUCGUAACACAAUAUGGCCUUGUGCUGCGGCUUUAUGGUCUAGUAUGGGCGGAAGUGCAGCGUCUCCUGGUCGAGUGCGAGUCGUGGCUCGUUGAGCCGGUUGUAGCAUCGAGCCGCGUCCCGGAGCUGCUUCGAACACGACUCGACGUCCGCCUUGAGCAGUCCGACGAAGCACUCGAACGCGCAGCAGCCCGCUUCCUCACCGAGAGCAAAUGGAGCUUGACUGAGCUCGAAAUGCAAAUCAGGGAACAUAGCCAGUGCGUGCUGACUGCCGGCGAGUCGCUGACCGAGACACUGCGUGCGUUCGAGCUCGACGAACGGUACGUGGGACGGCAGGCGCUCUCACCAAGAGUCGGAGACAGCGAGCGACUAUGGAGUGUUGAGGACCUGCUUCCAACGCUUCGAGCACUAGAUUCGGGUUAUGCACCGCCAGAAACUGGCUAGGAUAGCGGGCAACGCCAACGAAUGCCUCGUUCGAUACGAGGCACCCGCUCUCUGGCUUGCCGAGAGAGCCUCCUCUAUGCUGCGAUGACGUUGUGAACCUGUCGUGUUGACGGAGCAGACACAGUCCUGUCACUGGCUGGCGGAUACGUGCGCUCGGAACGGAACACGACCAGAAAAACAAACCCGUGGCGAAGCGUACACAGAGGUGGCAGUGUUUUGCGGCAAGCGCCGUGCAUUCGCUCUCGAGCCACGACAUCGAGUCCAGUAACUGAAUAGAUUCUAGAGUGUGCGAUUUUGGCGCUAGUGCAAUUGCUCUGGAGCAUCGACAUCGAGUCCAUGAGUUGAGCAUCUUCCAGACUAUGCAAGUUUCGUGCUAGCUAGUGCGGGCGCUGAACGAGAAUCGGAGUCCGCGCUAUGCCGGCAUACGAGCCCACGAGCGGGGAAGGCGGUCGACUCCGCGAACACUCUACAUGAGCGGUGCCGCACCCGUUCCUGGGAAUAGAUGCGGAACGACGCGGUGGUGUCAAUACGGUCGACGCGGACUCGGAAUGCACGGAAUCGGCCUCGUUGUAUUCCCUAUGAACGAAUUCGUGCUUUAUCCAAAAAUCGACGCCUCGGGAAGCGCCGUUGCUAUGAGGCUACCAGCCGGUAGCACCGGCACAAGCCGGCCACCGGAUUUGUGUGCUGUUUGGGGUCAGCGACGGCGGAUCCGUCCAUGCGCUUCUUGGCGACGCGCGCUGGAGUUAGGUCCGAUGGCGCAUGGAGACGGACACCGCGCUGGACGCCCAUGGACGGCAUGGAAAGCACUUGCCUCGCCAGGAUUUUCGCGAGGGUUCCAGUGGCGCAGUGCUCGCUCGAAACGCCCCUUAUAGACACAGAUUUGCCCUGUACUCUCGACAGAGCGUUUCGACUCGCAUGUCGUAGUCGGUGCGCGCAGCGGCUCCACGGGCAGGCCACUGUGUGCGCUCCGCGAGCGAACCUCGCACCUGAUUAUUGCGCAUCGUACGCACCCAUCUGUGUGUACUUUUGUACAACCAAAUGAUAGAGAUUCUCCGCACGUGCCUGGCGCUUCUCCGACUUGCUUAGUGCCGGACUGAUGCCUGCGUCGAGGUCGACUUGUGGCAUUAGACUCAUCCAGAGUCGUGCAUAACUGACGACGCGCUGUUCGCCUUUCUCUUUUUCUACUUGAUCUGGCGGCGGUAACAUGUUGAAGGUGCCGAUUGCCAUCGGGUAGUAGUGACACGGACGACCUGCCUUCUCAGCCGAUAGCCGGAAAAGCUCUAUUGCGUCUGGAUCAAAAGAUGCACAGGUGACGCGUCCCGUUUCGGGGGAGCGUCGAUCACGCCCCCCGCUGGGCGCAAACCAGACGCAGCGGCCUCCGUCGGCGAAGAGACGUUCCAUUUCCCGCAGGGUCUUACGAUUGUGAGCCUGCUUCUCCGAACGCCGAUCCGGCUCGUCUAAGAUAUGUUUUUUCGAGUACACCGUCAGCAUGGAGCGACCGACGCUAAACGGCGCUGCUAGUGGAUCGUCACGCACCCGAUCACCGGCCAUAUACAGAAUGCUCUCCGCGAGUGCUGCCCCAGAUUCGCCGAAAUGAUGGCGAAACAUAUGGUAGAUGGCAAAAGGAUCGGCUUCGCUUUGAUGAUUCCCCACCAGGCAUACGUUAUCACCAGCUGCGAGCUGCGCUCGGAUGCAUGCGAACGACGCCUCCGAGGACGGAUCCAGGUAGGAGCGUUGCAGAUCACAAAGCGGUCGCGAAAAUCUGUUUCCAAAUGCGGUAUAGUUGAACUCAGGUCCGCUCACAGCUUGAUGAUACGGCUUGAAAUGGAAGGGGUG